CACGCCCUAAACGAUGUCAACUGGUUGUUGGGAGGGUUUCUUCUCAGUAACGAAGCUAACGCGUGAAGUUGACCGCCUGGGGAGUNACGCGAAAAACCUUACCUACCCUUGACAUGCCAGGAACUUGCCAGAGAUGGCUUGGUGCUCGAAAGAGAACCUGGACACAGGUGC
rnacentral:rRNA from 1 species